rnacentral:rRNA from 1 species
UACAGAGGUCUCAAGCGUUUGUUCGGAUUCAUUGGGCGUAAAGGGUGCGUAGGUGGCGCGCUAAGUCAGGUGUGAAAUUUCGGAGCUUAACUCCGAAACUGCAUUUGAUACUGCGGUGCUUUGAGGACUGGAGAGGAGACUGGAAUUCAUGGUGUAGCAGUGAAAUGCGUAGAUAUCAAGAGGAACACCAGUGGCGAAGGCGAGUCCCUGGACAAACCCUGACACUGAGGCACGAAAGCCAAGGGAGCAAACAGG